rnacentral:rRNA from 1 species
AGCAGCCACCUUUAAAAAAGCGUUAAAGCUUUAUUUUCCUUUUGUAUAAAUUCCACUACCUCACUUCAACCCAUAAGCCAUACUGAAUGAUUUCAUAACUAUAUGAAAGCCUAUAUGUUAGAACUAGUAACAAGAAGAAGCCCUUCUCCAAAAUGUAAGUAUAAGCCAAAAUGAACUACUCACUGGCAAUUAAAGUCAAUAAACUAUUAGUAGUAACUCAACAAGAAAAACCUACUAAUCACAACGUUAACCUUACACCAGCACAUUUCUGGAAAGAUUAAAAGGACGGGAAGGAACUCGGCAAACUAUUAACCCCGCCUGUUUACCAAAAACAUCGCCUCUUGCUUCCCAUAAGAGGUCCAGCCUGCCCAGUGACAAAGUUAAACGGCCGCGGUACCCUAACCGUGCAAAGGUAGCGCAAUCACUUGUUCUUUAAAUGAGGACUAGUAUGAACGGCAUCACGAGGGUUAUGCUGUCUCCCCGACCCAUUCAGUGAAACUGAUCUCCCCGUGAAGAAGCGGGGAUAAAAAUAUAAGACGAGAAGACCCCAUGGAGCUUUAAACUCAGAAUCAACUGCUACACAAAAUAACCUAAUAUUUAUGCAACUCUGAUUUCUAGUUUUCGGUUGGGGUGACCACGGAGUAAAAAUUAACCUCCACGAUGAAAGGAAAUAAUAACCUAAACCAAGAGCUACAGCUCUAAGUAUUAAUAAAUUAACCAAACUGAUCCAAUUACUUGAUCAACGAACCAAGUUACCCUGGGGAUAACAGCGCAAUCCAUUUCAAGAGCUCAUAUCGACAAAUGGGUUUACGACCUCGAUGUUGGAUCAGGAUAUCCCAGUGGCGCAGCCGCUACUAACGGUUC